AAGUCGUAACAAGGUUUCCGUAGGUGAACCUGCGGAAGGAUCAUUAAAAGAGACAGGACCCUUCGGGGUCCGACCUCCCACCCUCUGUUGUUAUAACUACCUCGUUGCUUUGGCGGGACCGCGAAGGUCCUCCCGAGCGCGCCAGUCUCCGGACAGGCGAGCGCCCGCCAGAGUCCAACCAAACUCUUGUUUUUAAACCAGUCGUCUGAGUAUAAAAUUUUAAUUAAAUUAAAACUUUCAACAACGGAUCUCUUGGUUCUC
rnacentral:misc_RNA from 1 species